rnacentral:rRNA from 1 species
GACGAACGCUGGCGGCGUGCUUAACACAUGCAAGUCGAACGGAAAGGCCCUGCUUUUGUGGGGUGCUCGAGUGGCGCACGGGUGAGUAACACGUGAGUAACCUGCCCUUGACUUUGUGAUAACUUCAGGAAACUGGGGCUAAUACCGGAUAGGAUCUCCUGCUGCAUGGUGGUGGUUGGAAAGUUUCGGCUGUUGGGGAUGGACUCGCGGGUUAUCAGUUUGUUGGUGGGGUAGUGGCUUACCAAGGCUUUGACGGGUAGCCGGCCUGAGAGGGUGAACGGCGACAUUGGGCCUGAGAUACGGCCCAGUAUCCUACGGGAGGCAGCAGUGGGGAAUAUUGCACAACGGGCGGAAGCCUGAUGCAGCAACGCCGCGUGCGGGAUGACGGCCUUCGGGUUGUAAACCGCUGUCGCCUGUGACGAAGCGUGCGUGACGGUAAUGGGUAAAGAAGCCCCGGCUAACUACGUG